rnacentral:rRNA from 1 species
CCUACGGGGGGCUGCAGUGGGGAAUUUUGGACAAUGGGGGCAACCCUGAUCCAGCCAUGCCGCGUGCGGGAAGAAGGCCUUCGGGUUGUAAACCGCUUUUGUCAGGAGAGAAAUCUCUUGGGUUAAUACCCUGAGAGGAUGACGGUACCUGAAGAAUAAGCACCGGCUAACUACGUGCCCGCAGCCGCGGUAAUACGUAGGGUGCAAGCGUUAAUCAGAAUUACUGGGCGUGAUGCGUGCGCAGGCGGUUGAAAGCCCCGGGCUUAACCUGGGAACUGCACUUGUGACUGCACGGCUAGAGUACGGCAGAGGGGGAUGGAAUUCCGCGUGUAGCAGUGAAAUGCGUAGAGAUGCGGAGGAACACCGAUGGCGAAGGCAGUCCCCUGGGCCUGUACUGACGCUCAGGCACGAAAGCGUGGGGAGCAAACAGGAUUAGAUACCCGGGUAGUC